UUGAACGCUGGCGGCAGGCCUAACACAUGCAAGUCGAGCGGAUGAAGGGAGCUUGCUCCUGGAUUCAGCGGCGGACGGGUGAGUAAUGCCCAGGAAUCUGCCUGGUAGUGGGGGAUAACGUCCGGAAACGGGCGCUAAUACCGCAUACGUCCUGAGGGAUAAAGUGGGGGAUCUUCGGACCUCACGCUAUCAUAUGAGCCUAGGUCGGAUUAGCUAGUUGGUGGGGUAAAGGCCUAUCAAGGCGACGAUCCGUAACUGGUCUGAGAGGAUGAUCAGUCACACUGGAACUGAGACACGGUCCAGACUCCUACGGGAGGCAGCAGUGGGGAAUAUUGGACAAUGGGCGAAAGCCUGAUCCAGCCAUGCCGCGUGUGUGAAGAAGGUCUUCGGAUUGUAAAGCACUUUAAGUUGGGAGGAAGGGCAGUAAGUUAAUACCUUGCUGUUUUGACGUUACCAACAGAAUAAGCACCGGCUAGCUUCGUG
rnacentral:rRNA from 1 species